CCUCAUAAUUGAAAAUGCUUGGAACGGUUUUUCAAUAAAAGAACAUUUCAAACGGGAAAUGUAUCGCCGCAGGAUAGGAUCGCGUCCGAUUAUGGCAGUUGGUGAGGUAAUGGCUCACCAAACCUAUUAUCGGUAAGGGCCGUGAGAGCGGAAGCCCUGAGAUGGGUACUGAGACAAUGACCCAGGUCUUACGAGACGCAGCAGGCGCGAAACCUUCACAAUGCACGAAAGUGAGAUGAGGUUACCCGGAGUGCUACAAAGUAGCUGUGGCAGGUGAGUAAGAUUCCCUGCUAGGAAGGAGAGGGCAAGGCUGGUGCCAGCCGCCGCGGUAAAACCAGCUCUUCAAGUGGUCGGGAUUAUUAUUGGGCUUAAAGUGUUCGUAGCCUGUUUAGUAAGUUCCUGGUUAAAUCGGAUAGCUUAACUAUCUGUCUGCUAGGAAUACUACUAUACUAGGGGGCGGGAGAGGUCUGAGGUACUCCAGGGGUAGCGGUGAAAUGCUAUAAUCCUUGGGGGACCACCAGUGGCGAAGGCGUCAGACUGGAACGCGCCCGACGGUGAGGGACGAAAGCCAGGGGAGCGAACCGGAUUAGAUACCCGGGUAGUCCUGGCCGUAAACGAUGCGUGCUAGGUGUUGGUAUAGCUAUGAGCCGUAUCAGUGCCGUAGGAAAACCGAUAAGCGCGCCGCCUGGGGAGUACGGUCGCAAGGCUGAAACUUAAAGGAAUUGGCGGGCGAGCACCACAAGGGGUGAAGCCUGCGGUU
rnacentral:rRNA from 1 species